GUAAGUGCUAAUUUUGCCUGUGCUCGGAUUCUGCGGACAAUCCAUUAACAUCUGACCUCUGCGUCUACCAUCGUUACAGCAAACUAACUGUAGCCUUUUUCUCUUUUCCCGUAGAAACCUCCGCGCCAUGAGAGCCAAGUGGAGGAAGAAGCGAAUGCGCAGUUUUGGGCCGGGGCCGGCGCCCCACUCCUUUGAGCCACAGGCGCCCCCCGUCUGUGCACCUUUGAUUGAAGAUGGGAGGGAACACAACUGGUUGGAGGGCAGAGGUUGUAUUCUGUCUGCUUUUCAGGCUGAAGCGCAAAAGGAGAAAGAUGAGGCAGAGGUCCAAGUAAACCGCCUGGUUGUGCACUCGUGAAGGCCACAAGAGAAGGAACAUGGAAUGCCAAGAGGCUAAGGAGGCUAGUACAAGCUGCUGGACUGCAUGCUACUGUCUAGAACUUGCUCUCAGUGGAUCUAAGACCUCAUCGCCAUCCAAUCACCAUGACCACCCCUAAGAGACCCACCUUGUUCACACCAAAACAAUCCUAUUGGUCCCUUGCCCUGGACCUGACAUCCUGGACUCGUUCUGUUCUCGCUUGUGGCUGAGUGUAACCAGUAUACAAUAAAUCAUACCUUCUGCUGUUUCGGCUGA